CCUGAACCCAAAACUUAAUACACACAGUCAAAGUUCUCCCAUAAAGAGGAAAACUAUAAGGAUAUAGUCCCCAUACAAUAAAAUAAUACUUAAUUGUUUAUUACUCGUGUUUCCACAUGACCAACCAAUUCUCGUUUUCUUGUUUGUUUAUUCUGUCUUAGUCUAUGUCUAUUAUGGUAUGUCUUUAUACACUUGUAUGUUCAAAUCACUAUUAACUAAAGGAUAAAUAAGAGGAGGGAAAUGAGG